GGCUAGAGGCGUCAGUCAUUCAGGCGUUUAAUAAGCCAGGCGUUUAAUAAGUGUGGGUUCGAUUCCCACUCCAGUCA
rnacentral:tRNA from 1 species